CUUAACACAUGCAAGUCGAGGGGCAGCAUGGUCUUAGCUUGCUAAGGCCGAUGGCGACCGGCGCACGGGUGAGUAACGCGUAUCCAACCUGCCUUACACUCUUGGACAGCCUUCUGAAAGGGAGAUUAAUACAAGAUGUUAUCAUGAGUAAGCAUUUUCGCAUGAUUAAAGGUUUACCGGUGUAAGAUGGGGAUGCGUUCCAUUAGAUAGUAGGCGGGGUAACGGCCCACCUAGUCUUCGAUGGAUAGGGGUUCUGAGAGGAAGGUCCCCCACAUUGGAACUGAGACACGGUCCAAACUCCUACGGGAGGCAGCAGUGAGGAAUAUUGGUCAAUGGACGAGAGUCUGAACCAGCCAAGUAGCGUGAAGGAUGAAGGUUCUAUGGAUUGUAAACUUCUUUUAUACGGGAAUAAACGGAUCCACGUGUGGAUUUUUGCAUGUACCGUAUGAAUAAGGAUCGGCUAACUCCGUGCCAGCAGCCGCGGUAAUACGGAGGAUCCGAGCGUUAUCCGGAUUUAUUGGGUUUAAAGGGAGCGUAGAUGGGUUGUUAAGUCAGUUGUGAAAGUUUGCGGCUCAACCGUAAAAUUGCAAUUGAUACUGGCAGUCUUGAGUACAGUUGAGGUAGGCGGAAUUCGUGGUGUAGCGGUGAAAUGCUUAGAUAUCACGAAGAACUCCGAUUGCGAAGGCAGCUUACUAACCUGUAACUGACAUUGAUGCUCGAAAGUGUGGGUAUCAAACAGGAUUAGAUACCCUGGUAGUCCACACGGUAAACGAUGAAUACUCGCUGUAGGCGAUAUACAGUCUGCGGCCAAGCGAAAGCAUUAAGUAUUCCACCUGGGGAGUACGCCGGCAACGGUGAAACUCAAAGGAAUUGACGGGGGCCCGCACAAGCGGAGGAACAUGUGGUUUAAUUCGAUGAUACGCGAGGAACCUUACCCGGGCUUAAAUUGCAACCGAAUAUGGCGGAAACGCUAUAGCUAGCAAUAGCGGUUGUGAAGGUGCUGCAUGGUUGUCGUCAGCUCGUGCCGUGAGGUGUCGGCUUAAGUGCCAUAACGAGCGCAACCCUUGCCGAUAGUUACUAACAGGUCAUGCUGAGGACUCUGUCGGGACUGCCAUCGUAAGAUGUGAGGAAGGUGGGGAUGACGUCAAAUCAGCACGGCCCUUACGUCCGGGGCUACACACGUGUUACAAUGGGGGGUACAGAGGGCUGCUACCACGCAAGUGGAUGCCAAUCCCAAAAACCUCUCUCAGUUCGGAUUGAAGUCUGCAACCCGACUUCAUGAAGCUGGAUUCGCUAGUAAUCGCGCAUCAGCCACGGCGCGGUGAAUACGUUCCCGGGCCUUGUACACACCGCCCGUCAAGCCAUGGGAGCCGGGGGUACCUGAAGUGCGUAACCGCAAGGAGCGCCCUAGGGUAAAACUGGUGACUGGGGCUAAGUC
rnacentral:rRNA from 1 species